rnacentral:lncRNA from 1 species
CUUUCAAUUAAAGAAUUGACUAAUUAAGAGGAAAAUCACGAUAAUUAUUUGAGAUCUACUUCCUGUCCAUACAUGUAGCUAAAAAUGCCUGUACCAAGUCAGGAAUGAUGACGGUUGUACAUUUAUUUGUUGUGUUUUGCCAUUUGAUUUUGUCAUUGAUUAGGGACUUUAUGAUUGAAUUUUCCUCAGAGUUUUUUUGUGAUUAUACUUUUUAACACCUUACGUUAAAGGGCAUUCUACCCUCCUUCAAUG